AGCGAACGCUGGCGGCAGGCCUAACACAUGCAAGUCGAACGAACCUUUCGGGGUUAGUGGCGGACGGGUGAGUAACACGUGGGAACGUGCCUUUAGGUUCGGAAUAACUCAGGGAAACUUGUGCUAAUACCGAAUGUGCCCUUCGGGGGAAAGAUUAAUCGCCUUUAGAGCGGCCCGCGUCUGAUUAGCUAGUUGGUUGAGGUAAUGGCUCACCAAGGCGACGGUCAGUAGCUGGUCUGAGAGGAUGAUCAGCCACAUUGGGACUGAGACACGGCCCAAACGCCUACGGGAGGCAGCAGUGGGGAAUCUUGCGCAAUGGGCGAAAGCCUGACGCAGCCAUGCCGCGUGAAUGAUGAAGGUCUUAGGAUUGUAAAAUUCUUUCACCGGGGACGAUAAUGACGGUACCCGGAGAAGAAGCCCCGGCUAACUUCGUG
rnacentral:rRNA from 1 species